UCUCUCUCCUUUUCUCUCUCUAAAUUCUCUCUUUAUUUUCUCUCUCUAUACCAUUUUAUCUCUUUUUAUGGAUUUUAUCUCUCUAGGGUCAUUCUCUCUCUCUGAUUGCAUCACAGACCUUAGGAUAAACUUGAGAUGAAAAUAUGAUGAUCUGAGACUGUUUCAAAAUUCGUGCAGUAGAUUGGAUCCCGAUCCGAUCCUUAUUCGAAAUUGAUAACAUCAAUCAUGGUUAAUUCAUAUUAAGUCACCCUGAUAUGAUACAUGAUUGUUAUUUUUGAAGAAUACGAAGAUUCUCUCUCCACUUUCUCUCUCUACUUUCUCUCUCAUGAUUGACUUUCUCUUUCUAAGAAGGUCUAUGAAUCUUGUAUCGAGUCAUACCUUCAUCUUUUAGGGGCUCAUAUUGACUCUAACAAGAUGAUCCAAAGUUGUUUUGAUAUCCAUGCUGUAUGUCAACCUCAUUUGAUCAUAUCAAGGAUCUUUCAAAUUCAUUAUUAAUGAACUCUAUUGAUUGAUCUCGAUCUAAUCUGUGCUUCACAAUUUCUUGAUCAAGUCACUUGAAUCUGACCCUCAGAUCAGAAAUCUUGAAUUGCCCUGGUAUCUGGAUGGUCCGACACAUCCGNNNNNNNNNNNNNNNNNNNNUCAUGAAAACUUAUGUUUGAUCCGAUAAGAAAGUACAAGUUUUACUUACUGGACUAGUGUAGCUCAUAUUCUUUUUGUUUUCUUUUUGUUUGAACAGAAGAAUAAGGUUAGGAUCGGCAAAAAGAAUUCUGGCUUGAAGAUCUACAUAACAAGCUUGAAAAUUUGAUAGCAGAAGUUUAGUUAUUUUAUAAUCAUGGAUUUGUAGUUAUUUAUAAAUAUUGAGAUUCAGAUUGGUACUUGCUUUUGGAUUUAGAUGCUCUGAACCAAUAUUAGUUCGAUUAUUUGAAGAAUAAUGGAAUUGAAUCUUUUUUUUUGAUGAAUUUUAGAUGAUUAUGAUGGAUUGGCUUCGUGUUAUCGUGGGCUCCAUCCCUCGAUAGCAUGGCCGUGUUAUGUCCCAGAUUUGGGGUGUGAUAUUUUAUGGUAUCAGAGCUUAUGUUAUAAUCAUUGGAGAUUAUGAUAUAAAUGAUUAGGAUAUGAUAGAAUAAUAUCAGAGCUUAGGUUUAAGAUCAUUGAGAUUAUAAAGUGAUAUCAAAACUUUAUGUAUGAUCAAUAGGAUGUGACCGAGUGGAGUAUAAUGGAUAAUAUCAGAGCUUAAGAUUAUGAUCAUUAAGGACGUGAUAGAAUGAUAUAAAGUUAGGUUAUGAUCACUAGAGAAUAUGACUUAAGUGGUAUUUGAACUUAAGGUUAUCAUUAUUCGGGAUUGUGACUUUAGUGAUAUUUGAACUUGAGGUUAAGAUCAUGAGGAACAUGAUAGAUAUAAAAGAAAGGAUUCAAUAAUUUGAUUUCGAAUCAAUAGGUAUUAUGAUGAAAUUUAUGCAUAAGUGGCAUAUGAUGUCUAUAAUAGAAUUGACGAGUUAUAUCUUAGAUUUCAAUUAGCAAAGUUGACCUGAGUACGAGAAGUGUCGAUCCUAGAAUGAAGUGGGAGGUAUCGAUAUAUUAUGUUAGGUAUAUUUGAUGACAUUAGAAUGCUAAACCUAUAUGGAUAAAGGACAUGAUAACUUUACUGAUUUUGAUGUUAAUUUUUUUGCAAAGAAAAGUUGGUUUGAAAGUUGUCUAAAUGAUUGUAAGGUAAAUCGAAGGUUAACUCAAAUUAAUUCUAGAUAUAUUGGAUUCUUGAGGAGUGGUGAAGUUUAUGUAAUAAGUUCAAACAUUGAAGGUGGAUGAAGAUUUAAUUUUGAUGUGCUAUGCCUAAGAGAUAGUAAUGACAAGAAAAUCUUAAAUUUUAUCCUAAAUUGUAUAUGAAAUCUAAAAGUUGGAUCUAUUUUUGAUUGAUUUAAUAUACAAAGAUAUUUUUAUUUUUGAUAGACUUAGAUAAUUUGGUAAGUUAAGAUCAGAGUGCGCAGCAAAAACGUGAUGGUCUGAAUUGAUUAGAAAUAUUAAUCCUUUAAAUCAAAAGAUAUUAUGAAAUACAUUAGUUAUAAAUAAGGAAGGAUUUUACUGAUAAUAAAUGGAUGCUAGAGAGAAAAACUAUCUAAUUAAGGAAAGACUCAAAGCAGCACAGGAUAGACAGAAGAAUUGGACAGAUAGAAAAAGAAGAGAAUUAGAAUUUCACUUCGGUGAUCAUAUUUUUUUAAAAGUAUCAUCUCCAAAAAGUGUCAUGAGGUUUGGAAGACAUGGCAAGCUGAGUCCGUGAUAUAUUAGACCUUUUGAAAUUUUGAGCCGAGUAGGAGAUGUUGCUUACGAACUCUCCUUACCAUUGGAUUUAUCUAAAGUGCAUAAUAUCUUUCAUGCUUCACUACUGAGAAAGUUUAUACCUGAUUUAAAUAAUGUGAUAAAGUAUGAGCCAUUGUAAGUUCAUGAAGAUUUAACUUAUGAAGAAUUUUUCUUCCGAAUUAUUGAUCGAAAAGAACAAGUUCUAAGACGGUGUAUCAUUCCAUAUGUGAAAAUUCAUUGGAGUAAUCAGGAAGAGAGAGAGGCCACAUGGGAGCUUGAAGAUGAUAUGAAGACGAGAUAUUCACACUUAUUUGAAAAUGAAGGUAUGUUAAAUUUCGAGGAUGAAUUUUUUUUUAAAGGGGGUAGAAUAUGAUAAUCUGGCCCAAUUGGGCCCAAAACCAGCCCACAAAGCCCAAACGAAAAAAAAAAGGAGAACAGAGGAGAAGACUCCUAAAGGCAGUCUUCUUCCUCCUCUCACUGACUCCCAAUCGGAAUCGGAAAGAGCCCCCUCCGGCUCUAUUUAAGGAGGAGAACCCUCCUCUCUCCCUCUCACCAAAGACCCGAGACUCAGUCGGCGGCAAUCGUCGAAAAACCAUCGUGGAGACCCGACCUGUGCCCGUCCAAUUUCUCGCCGGAAAGCCUCACUGGCGUCGAAGGUGAGUCUCCUCCUCCUUCCUCUCUUCUCCUCUUUCCUUCCCAUGUCGAUGUGCACGCUCGCCGGCGACCGGAGUCAUCGGAUUUUGUUGCGGAAGAAACCUCUAUUUUUGUCAUUUUUCUUCAAUUUUCCGACGCCGGUGGUCACCGCCGACCAUCGGUUUGGUCCCUCCGAGCCAUGGGAUCAUCGUCCCUUGUCGUCGGCCACAGCCAUGAUGGCUGCAGCCCUUGGUCGGCCGAGCAAAGGAGGGGACCAUAUGGUCCCCUGUUUUAGCCCAAGACAACCGUGGGAAGAAAAAAAGAAAAAGAAGAAGAAGGAAAAAGAAAAAGAAAAGAAGAAGAAGAAGGAAAGAAAAAAAGAAAAAGAAAAAGAAAAAAAAGGAAAAGAAAAAGAAGAAAAAAAAAAAAAUAAAAAUAAAAAAUUUAUUAUAUAAAAUAAUAAGACUCUCUCUCCUCUCUACAUUCUCUCUCCAUUUUCUCUCUCUAGAUUCUCUCUUUAUUUUCUCUCUCUAGAUCAUUUAAUCUCUUUUUAUGGUUUUUGUCUCUCUAGGAUCAUUCUCUCUCUCUGAUUGCAUCACAGAUCCUAGGAUAAACUUGAGAUGAAAAUAUGAUGAUCUGAGAUCGUUCCGAAAUUCGUGCAGUAGAUUGGAUCCCGAUCCGAUCCUUAUUCGAAAUUGAUAACAUCAAUCAUGGUUAAUUCAUAUUAAGUCACCCUGAUAUGACCUCUGAUGAUCUCAAUCAUGAUUGUCACUUUUGAAGAAUACGAAGAUUCUCUCUCCACUUUCUCUCUCUAUUUUCUCUCUCAUGAUUGACUUUCUCUCUCUAAGAAGGUCUAUGAAUCUUGUACCGAGUCAUGCCUUCAUCUUUUAGGGGCUCAUAUUGACUCUAACAAGAUGAUCCAAAGUUGUUUUGAUAUCCGUGCUGUAUGUCAACCUCAUUUGAUCAUAUCAAGGAUCUUUCAAAUUCAUUAUUAAUGAACUCUAUUGAUUGAUCUCGAUCUAAUCUGUGCUUCACAAUUUCUUGAUCAAGUCACUUGAAUCUGACCCUCAUAUCAGAAAUCCUGAAUUGCCCUGGUAUCUGGAUGGUCCGACACAUCCGGUCAACAGUCUUCUUUCCUUAUGAUUUAAUUUUGUUAUAGUUAUGGAAUAGAAUUUGAUAAUGAUUUGAUAUUUUAAAUAGGAUUAGCUGAUUCUUCUAACGAAGUCUGAAGAUCUAAGAUGAACGAGGUAAGUAGAUCUUAUGCACCUUAAUUAUUUUUAAAUGAUCAUGUUUUUAUGCAAAGAAUUGCUAUUGAUGAAAUUAUAAUUUUUUAUAAAAUAAGGAUCGACAUAUGUGAUAUGAAAAAGCAUGUUUUAUUAUGAGCAUUNNNNNNNNNNNNNNNNNNNNUAUGUAUACUUUAAGAAAAAGAUAUAAUGAUUUCAAAAGCUCUCAGAUAGCUAUGAAUGAAUUCCUUCGGGAAGGUCGACAUCCAGAGCUAGC
rnacentral:lncRNA from 1 species